GUGGUACAAUAUAAUAUCAUUAAUAGGUAAAAUAAUAAAUGUCUUCGGCGUUAUCAUCAAACCACAACUUACACGACGAUGGCGACCUCAGGUCGCCACUCGCCUCCUCUCAGGAGGAGGCGAACUCGAAAAAAAUAACAAUGGAUGAGAUGUUGGAGAAGUAUUGCGGGGAGUUCGGGUUGUGGCAGGUGAGACACCUAGUGUUAACCUGCUUGGCUUGGUUACUAGAGGGGAUUCUAACCAUGGUUAUGAUCUUUGCGGAUCGUGAACCAGCGUGGCAUUAUGUGACGAGCCACGCUGGUGCAACGAGCCGGUGUUCUUCUGAACCCGGCUCGUGGCAAUGGACAGGUGGAAAGGGAAGUUCUACGAUGUCCGAAUUUGGAUUAAUAUGCGGAGAAAAGUAUAAGGUUGGGCUUGUUCAAUCUAUAUUUUUCGCUGGCUGCAUGAUCGGUGCGGGAGUAUUUGGACAUUUAUCAGAUACAAAAUUAGGGAGAAAAGGCUCUUUAACUAUAGUUUGCAUUUUGAAUGCUAUUUUUAGUAUUUUAACUGCAUUCUCUUCCGAUUACUCAACCUACGUCCUGUUCCGAUUUCUCUCCGGUUUCAGCAACGGCGGAACCGGCCUUUGUGCUUUCGUUCUCGCCACUGAACCCGUUGGCCAAUCAUGGCGUGGCGUAGCUGGAAUGUCCACUUUAUAUCUAUACUCUACUGGAAUAGUCGUUGUAUCCGUCAUUGCUUAUUUCAUCCAACCGUGGCGAUCUCUCUACAUUGCUUCAUCAAUCCCUUCCCUUAUUUUCGUUAUCUUCGUAUUACCUUUCCUCCACGAGUCACCUAGAUGGUACCUCGUUAGAGGAAAAGUAGACGAAGCUAUGAAAAUUAUGCAGAAAAUCGCGGUUUCUAAUGGUAAACAAAGCAUCCCUAAUGACGUUGUUCUUGCCCUCGAUAGUGCAGUAGUAUCAAAGGACGAUACUCCUAAUAAUUGUCGAUUCAAUACGAAAAAAGGCAUAAACAGAUCAAUUUUAGAUGUAUUAAGAUCUCCUGUCACGCGGAUUCGGUUGUUGGUCGCUGUGGCUACUAACUUCUUUUGUUCCAUUGUGUAUUACGGGUUGAGUUUAAACGCGGUUAAUCUCGGAACUAAUUUAUACCUCAACGUUGCACUUAAUUCGGUUUCUGAAAUGCCUGCCUAUUUAUUAUCAUCGUUAGUACUCGACAGGAUUGGUAGAAAACCGUUAGCCAUAGGGACAAUGUGGUUCAGUGCGAUUUUCUGCUUAGUAGGGAGUAUUUUGAAGAUCAUCGAUGAGACGUGGAAAUUUAUUCCUAUGGUGUGCGGAUUGCUUGGGAUAUUUGGAAUUUCUGGUACUUUUAAUUUGUUGCUUGUGUAUGGCAUGGAAUUGUUUCCAACUGUAGUGAGAAAUGCAGCACUAGGAUGCUCGAAGCAAGCCAUAAAUUUUGGGGCAAUUUUGGCUCCUAUUAUAGUUGUUUUAGGGGAUGGAGUGCCGUUUGCUGUAUUUGGGAUAUGUGGUAUUAUUGGAGGAUUUUUGGUAAUGUAUUUACCUGAGACGCUAACCAAGCCACUUUACGAUACGAUAGAUGGAUUGCAAGAAGGUGAAGCAAAUUAAACUUAGGAUCACCCACCAUUGGCUACCACCUCUGUCGUAUCAGUGAAUAGCGGCUCAGCCUGUAAACCACACCAGCAACAUAAACAAGACAAAGUACGCGCGCAGUUACUCUUGUUUGGGUGCUUUUUUUGUUUGACAUUAUUGAUCCAAAUUACAUUGAGCUGAUUCAUCUGUAUGAAGCUUUAAUAAAUCAUCCGUUAAUGAUUGAGUUUAGUUACUAAUGUCUUGGAUAUAUCAAACGAAAUAAUAUUGCUUUUUUUUUUUUGCUUAUCA